AGAGUUUGAUCAUGGCUCAGAUUGAACGCUGGCGGCAUGCCUUACACAUGCAAGUCGAACGGCAGCACGGGUGCUUGCACCUGGUGGCGAGUGGCGAACGGGUGAGUAAUACAUCGGAACAUGUCCAGUAGUGGGGGAUAGCCCGGCGAAAGCCGGAUUAAUACCGCAUACGAUCCAUGGAUGAAAGCGGGGGAUCGAAAGACCUCGCGCUAUUGGGGUGGCCGAUGGCAGAUUAGGUAGUUGGUGGGGUAAAGGCCUACCAAGCCGACGAUCUGUAGCUGGUCUGAGAGGACGACCAGCCACACUGGGACUGAGACACGGCCCAGACUCCUACGGGAGGCAGCAGUGGGGAAUUUUGGACAAUGGGCGAAAGCCUGAUCCAGCAAUGCCGCGUGUGUGAAGAAGGCCUUCGGGUUGUAAAGCACUUUUGUCCGGAAAGAAAUCCUUUGGGCUAAUACUCUAGGGGGAUGACGGUACCGGAAGAAUAAGCACCGGCUAACUACGUGCCAGCAGCCGCGGUAAUACGUAGGGUGCAAGCGUUAAUCGGAAUUACUGGGCGUAAAGCGUGCGCAGGCGGUGAUGCAAGACCGAUGUGAAAUCCCCGGGCUUAACCUGGGAACUGCAUUGGUGACUGCAUCGCUAGAGUAUGGCAGAGGGGGGUAGAAUUCCACGUGUAGCAGUGAAAUGCGUAGAGAUGUGGAGGAAUACCGAUGGCGAAGGCAGCCCCCUGGGCCAAUACUGACGCUCAUGCACGAAAGCGUGGGGAGCAAACAGGAUUAGAUACCCUGGUAGUCCACGCCCUAAACGAUGUCAACUGGUUGUCGGGCCUUCAUUGGCUUGGUAACGUAGCUAACGCGUGAAGUUGACCGCCUGGGGAGUACGGUCGCAGAUUAAACUCAAGGAAUUGACGGGACCCGCACAAGCGGUGGAUGAUGUGGAUUAAUUCGAUGCAACGCGAAAACCUUACCUACCCUUGACAUGUACGGAA
rnacentral:rRNA from 1 species